rnacentral:sRNA from 12 species
UGGACUGGUCGAAAGACCAUGGUUCACCUGGUGGCGGGGAUAUACCCC